GUACAAAACUGCCUCUGCUCGCACAAAGCAGCCUCUGCUCGAGUACGAAACAAUCCCACCACCGCUGCGGUAAAUUUGUGCCAAAAGUCACGUGAUGCAUUAAGAGUUGUUGUUGUUGUUGUUCAGACUUCCCGACAGCAGGGGGCGCACCCGAAAGAAACUGAAAUGCGCCGGUUUGGCUGAGGAAGAAAGACGUGACACCAUAGCUCAGUGCAGCUAACAGCAUCAGCACCCCACAGCAUCCACUGAUGAGGUGAAGGUCAUCAAAGUUCUGGGCUGGAUGGAAGGCUACCAGAUCAUCAACCUGCUUUGAGACACGCCGACUUCCAUCACAAGACUACCAAGACUUGAACAAUUCAAAAUUUUAUGUAAUCUUUAAACAUACGGCAGAUGAUUUGAGCUUGUUUAAAAAUAACUUAAUAUGUAACCGUUUUAGUUCCCAGUAUUAACUACUUUGAUCACUAACUGUUGCAGCAUGUCCUUCAUAGCUCUUAGUGGAGCCGUUUAGGCUGGAAAAAAAAGGCCAGGUUUGAGGUUCUGAAUUUCCUGACAGUCUUACAUGCAGAAAUUGUUUUUCAUAGUCCUGUUUUUGGCUUCAUCCAUUUCAUCAGCCAGUUUGUUUUAUACAGCCCGCUUUAUGGUAAUACAUGGAUUGUUUACUGGGAAAAACCUGGAGAAUUAAUGGAGUUCUUUCAGUCUUGAUUUCAACAAUAAAAGCAAUCCUUGUGGAAA